UAGUGUUUGAUGUUCAGAAACCUUAGGAUAGUAUUUUGAAUGUUUUGCAAAUGUACAUAGUGCUGUAACUAAAUCUUUGUGCCCAUCCUUGAUCAUGGCCUCUGAGGGGUCACGUUGCUGGACUGAGGCUUUUGGUUUACAUUUCUAAAUUGCUCACCACAAAGGCUCUGCCUUUUGUCAUUUCCAGGAGCAGUUUUUGCAAGCAGUGGUUUCUUGAACACUAGUCCACAAUGAUGAAGGCUAUUAAUUUGAGUCUCAGUAGAAACCAUGCAUUUUCAACUCAUCUCCUGCAGUUUUAAAUGAGUUUUCCACUCACGGUCAGCUUCAGGACCCUCCCAUCACUUCUCCUGUAAGCCUUGGAGGCCUCCUGAACCCUCAGCAUCCUUCCCAAGCUCUUCCACCUGCAUGAUCUGAGACUGACUUGGAAAGCUUCUGUUAUCAUGUGUCCUUUAACUUUGUGCAGACUGUCUUGUACGUCACCCACCUGGAACCUCCAGGACUUGGACUUUAGCAUCAGAGUUCUCAAAGAAGAGGUGAGAAAGAAUGAGGCCUCAGAAUAUUUGAAGAAACAAUGGUUAAGAAUUUUCCAGUCUGAUGAAAAAUACUAAAGACCAAAGAAAGAGAAAAUCUAGAAAGCAGCCAGAGAGAAAAAAGGGAUACGUCAUCUUCAAAAGAGAGACAGUAAAACUUGACGGUUGACCUGUUAACAAAACCAGUGGAAGAUAAUGAAAUGGCAUCUUAAAGUCGAAAGAAUAUAACUGCCAAUGUAACAUUCUAUAUCCAGUGAAAACAUCCUUUACAAAUGGAAAAUUUUCAAACAAAUAAGAACUAUGAGAAUCUGUUGUCAGCAGACCUGCACUAAAGAAACCUGUCCAGUCAGAAUGAAAUUGAUCCCAGAGAGAACACUGUACUUCAGGAAAGAAUAAAGAGCAAUGAAAAAGGCAACCAGAAGAGAAGGUCACCCAGCUACCACCAACUGUAUCACCUAUUUGCACCUGUGCCCGAAUACUUCCGGUUUCUUCCUGCUCUGAUGAGUGAACGUGCUUUUAUCUUAGGCUGGUGUAUCUGCUCCUAUGUCCUGGAUUCCACUGCAUACUUCACUGAUGCAGAAGAAAGGGAAGAACUGCAGAAGUUUUCCCCAUUAGCAUACAAAUGCUGGAAUGUCAUCUAGCCUAAAAGUUUCUUCAGCAUCCUCUGCCAGCUACCGCCUCAUUUGUCUACUUUUACUCACAUUUCAGCAAAACCCCUCAAAAUGGUUGUCUGUAUUCACCAUCUCUACUCCCUCUGAUUCUGACGUGAACUCACCCCGCUCAGG